UUCAUUUAUUCUAUUGAUAUAUGUAUCUUUAUAUUUUUUAAUUAACUCCUCUAACAUCCUUCGAAAUAGUACAGUAGUAGAAGGCGAAAGAAUUCAUUAUUCGAACGAAUAAUUCAACAAUGUGAAAUGUGACAAAAUGUCUAAAAAUUUUUCUCAUACCUUAACUACAGUGUAAGGAAUUAAAUUGCAUCUGAUAAAUGACAGAAAAAGAUUCACUUCUUAUUACUUCGUCGCAAGUUCUAACACCAGCGGUUCGUUUAACGCAAACUCGUAUUCGCGCAGCGAGUCACUCAUAUUAUACGGAAAUAAUACGCGUCGUGAAACGUGUAAAUUGCUGGCUGUUCGGCGGCUAUGAAGUGUACGGAAUACACGUUGGCGACCAGUCGCAGGGGCAAGCUGUAGAUGUAUUCCUUGUGCCUUGAAGCUAGCUUCGACCAAGUGGAGAACAAGGAAAGAAAAAAGAGAAGAUAGAUAGAGAAAGAGAGAGAGGAUGGCUCACGAGUUAAAGAACGAGAAGAAAAGAUGAAUGGUGCGUGAGCAGUUUCGUUCUUGGGAGGCGAAAGGCAAGCCGGUGGAACGAAUUGUUCCAUCGAUCGAUCGGACGUGUUCAAGGACCGUUCAUACCUGUUCCUGAAACACCACAGCGGAGAGACAACGAGAGAGUCUGGCACCAGGAGAGGGGCUGUGCAUGACAAGGUUCGAUGUUUCAUCGUGAAAGUGUACACACACCAGAGGAACGCGUGUGAUGGUGAUCACGUGUGUGAGCAGAAUCAGAAAACAAAAAGAGGAAAGAAAGAAAGUGGAAGGUUCGGAAGGGGUAAAAAUGAAAAAACACAGCAAGAAAAGUAGUAACUGGAUGGGAAGAAAAAGAAAAAGGAAAAAAGUGGCGCCUGUCCUCGUUCAUUCCAAUCUACAGAGGUUAAUAAUAUCGAAAAUAUUGCUCUCCCAUCGGUAAUUUAAAUAAAAAUACGUUUUUUCAACACUCGUACACGAAGCUGAUGCGCUCGCGUGCACGCGUACGCGUGUACUCGCGAUCGUCGCUGGAUAAAAACGCCGGGAAUUACAGGGACAGUAAUUUCUGAGCCGGAAUCAACACUUAUUAUGCUCGUGUCUACGCCACCCUGAUAAACGAACGCUUCCAACGAAAAAGGCUGAAACUGAGAGAGAACGUACAUAUGUGUAUCUCUGGCGCUCUGGCCAACUCGAGCUCCGAUCAUAACGAACGAUUAUUUUUCAUACGCUUUUUUUCGUACGGAAUAUUCUGAUAGAAAAAAAUACGACUGGGUGGGCUGCCGGGAAAUUUCGUGCACGCCUUUGCAAGAAAAUCAAUUUUUCCUCCUUUUUUUUGCUCUCUCUCUCUGUAUUUCUUUUCCGCGCUACCUAGCAUCAUGUGAAAAUCACUGGGAGUUUCGAAUGAAUGAAAGGCUGGUUUGCUUAUCGACUAUACAUGGGGAAAAAAGGAGGAAAAUGUAACGCGUGUCCUUUGAAGAUGUAAAAUCGUUGACAUAUUAUCGAUACCUUAUAACCAAAGUCUCGUUUAAAUUGCUAUAAUCAACCACAUAUUAUCGCGCAAUAAAGGCAAAAAGGAUUUUAUACGGAGUUUUUCAAAGAUCGAUUGAAAACAAAAUAUUUCGCAGAGAAAUUUGGAUAUUCUUUGAGAAUGUAGUAGGACGUUUUUGGUAGGAGAGUCACGCGAGAAUUUUCUAGUCGGGGAUUGCGCGAGUGAGUGGAACAAGUACGAACGCCGACAGACAGAGGCAGAAGGGACAAUUUUCAAUUUUGUUCGACGGCCAGCCUGCCGUCCGGCAAUUUUGAAACUAACUGGUUAUCCGAGAGUCGUCUACGCAAACAGAUGAGCGUUGAUUUCGUCACUCGCCCCGUUGAAUCCAGAAGCACCGAGUCGAGGACCGGACGAAAAGGAAGAAAGAGGGAGAGAAAGAGAGAGAGAGAGAGAAAGAGAGAGAGAAAAGGGUGUAAGAGUGGCGAAUUCUGACAACUGCACGCUCGUUUUCGCGCGGGAAUUCCUUGGUGACUCAUUUUGUUACUUUGCAUCCAUGAUACCAUUAUUUUAUUAUUAAAUCAAAACCUUUAU